UACGUAGGGUGCAGGCGUUAAUCGGAAUUACUGGGCGUAAAGGGCGCGUAGGCGGGAUGGCAAGUCGGUCGUGAAAUCCUUCGGCUCAACCGAAGAACGUCGAUCGAUACUGCUGUUCUUGAGGGUUGCAGAGGAGACUGGAAUUCCCGGUGUAGCGGUGAAAUGUGUAGAGAUCGGGAAGAACACCAGUGGCGAAGGCGGCUCACUGGCCCGGUACUGACGCUGAGGUGCGAAAGCGUGGGGAGCAAACAGG
rnacentral:rRNA from 1 species